UCACAGCCGUUCACUGAUUGCUCACAUUAAGUUGUGUGGUCGUUGUCGCCUCGCAGGUGACAUGAAUUCGUAUUUAUUUUCAGAUGGAAGAUGUGUUUUAUCUUCUACAGCAGGAAUGUGAAAGUCUAAAUGACCUUUUAGAAGAAAAACUUGACAUUAAACUCCUCUGUGUUGACCGAGAGAUCAACCAGAGACUCUGUGUGGAGGAGGAGAGGAGACGAACCGAACCGGACCGGACCGCGUGUGUUCCGGAUCGGAUGGUUCCUGGUCUAGAAACAGUCUUUCAGGAUCUCAAGCAUCUCUCUGAGGGGAUUCACGUUCCCUAACAUGAAGACGGACUUGACAAGAACGAAUUUCAGUCGUGGUCUUCAUCAUCUUUACCGACUGGUGAAGCUCGCUGAGGAGCCAGAAGGAGAUCUACAACACAAUAAAUCAUCCGUGCAUCACGACCGACAGAACACACACACGCGCUACAGAUGUCAACAUGACGAGGCCAGAUGUAUGUGCCUGUUUGAUGUUUCCUGGUUCGUCCAGAUGGGACAGAGCUGGAAAUGAUCAAGAGACGAGACACGAUGAGAGACAUGGAGGAAAUAAAAAUAAAUAAAUAAAAAAAAAUCUGUGUAUAAUCAUCAGUCAGCUAUUUGUUAGACAUGUGAGCAACAUCUGUGUCCGUGUGUGUGCCGACAAAGACGGGAAGAAAAAGACGAGAGAAGAAGCGGACGACAUGAGAGCAAACGAAACAUAUGGGAGACAAAUGUGUGUGUAAAAGAGUAAAAGAUACGGCUUUCUGUAUUAAAGAAAUAUAAUUUAUAGAUAUUUUUUAUCCCUGGUUGUCAGUAGAGAUACAGGAGGCAUAGAGACGGAUGACUAAAAGAUGGUUUUGUUUAUAAAAAUCACUUUCUAUUUAACUUUAACAUGAUCUGAAGAGCAUAUUUAAGGAUGUUCUUGCAGUCAACUUAGAACAUAUCUUGGAAAAAAGGCAAACAUUGGUUGGACACAAGUUCCUUCAGUGUAAAACACUAAUCUCAGAUUCCUCCCUCUUGUCUCAGGUUAACAUGUUUCUGCACGAAAAAGUUUCCCCAUUAAAAUAAAGUUUUGAUUCUCUACA